CCUACGGGUGGCAGCAGUGAGGAAUAUUGGUCAAUGGACGAGAGUCUGAACCAGCCAAGUAGCGUGAAGGAUGACUGCCCUAUGGGUUGUAAACUUCUUUUAUAAAGGAAUAAAACGAGGCACGUGUGCCUUUUUGCAUGUACUUUAUGAAUAAGGAUCGGCUAACUCCGUGCCAGCAGCCGCGGUAAUACGGAGGAUCCGAGCGUUAGCCGGAUUUAUUGGGUUUAAAGGGAGCGUAGAUGGGUUGUUAAGUCAGUUGUGAAAGUUUGCGGCUCAACCGUAAAAUUGCAAUUGAUACUGGCAGUCUUUAGUACAGUUGAGGUAGGUGGCAUUCGUUGUGUAGCGGUUCACUGCUUAGCUCUCAC
rnacentral:rRNA from 1 species